AAAGGCAGCCGGAUAGCUGCGUCAGGGAAUGUAAAAUCUUUUGAUGAGGAAAGUCCGGGCUUCACGGAAACAAGAUACCAGAUAACGUCUGGCUGGAGAAAUCCAAGGGAAAGUGCCGCAGAAAGUUACCGCCGGCUACAGGCCGGUAAGGUUGAAAAGGCGAGGUAAGAGCUCACCGCACAGGCAGUAAUGUCUGUGGCAAGGUAAACCCUAUCUGAUGUAAGACCAAAUUAGGAGGCUUGAGUUUUCGGACUUAAGAACCGGAGAGUUUCCGCUCCGCUCCAGAGGUGGGUCGCACCAGCCAAGCGGCGACGUUUGGCGCAGAUGAAUAGCUAUCGCACAAAUCUUUGCCGGAAACGGUAAAGCAAAUCGUGUACAGAACUCGGCUUACAGGCUGUCUUCCAUU
rnacentral:RNase_P_RNA from 1 species